CCUACGGGAGGCAGCAGUGAGGAAUAUUGGUCAAUGGCCGGAAGGCUGAACCAGCCAUGCCGCGUGAAGGUCAGUGCCCUAUGGGCGUUAAACUUCUUUUGUGCGGGAGCAAUAAUGGUCACGUGUGGCCAGCCGAGAGUACCGUAAGAAUAAGCAUCGGCUAACUCCGUGCCCGCAGCAGCGGCAAUACGGAGGGUGCGAGCGUUAAUCGGAAUUACUGGGCGUAAAGCGCACGUAGGCGGUAUGUCAAGUCAAGGGUGAAAUCCCCGGGCUCAACGUGGGAACUGCCUUUGAAACUGGCAAGCUGGGGUGUGGGAGAGGAGAGUGGAAUUCCAGGUGUAGGGGUGAAAUGCGUAGAUAUCUGGAGGAACAGCAGUGGCGAAGGCGACUAUCUGGCACAUGACUGACGCUGAGGAGCGAAAGCGUGGGUAGCAAACAGGAUUAGAUACCCUUGUAGUC
rnacentral:rRNA from 1 species